AACGAACGCUGGCGGCAGGCCUAACACAUGCAAGUCGAGCGCCCCAGCGAUGGGGAGCGGCGGACGGGUGAGUAACGCGUGGGAACGUGCCUCUUGCUACGGAAUAGCCUCGGGAAACUGGGAGUAAUACCGUAUGUGCCCGUACGGGGGAAAGAUUUAUCGGCAAGAGAUCGGCCCGCGUUGGAUUAGGUAGUUGGUGGGGUAAUGGCCUACCAAGCCGACGAUCCAUAGCUGGUUUGAGAGGAUGAUCAGCCACACUGGGACUGAGACACGGCCCAGACUCCUACGGGAGGCAGCAGGUGGGGAAUCUUAGAACAAGUGGGCGCAAGCCUGAUCUAGCCAUGCCGCGUGAGCGAUGAAGGCCGUUAGGGUUAGUAAAGCUCUUUCAGUGGGGAAGAUAAUGACUGUACCCACAGAAGAAGCCCCGGCUAACUCCGUG
rnacentral:rRNA from 1 species